CUUCCCUUCCAGGCUUCAUUCACAUUUUCUUAACGCCUGGAGGAGGCUCUGGUGGUCUUUACGUCAAAGCAAGUGCAGCGGCGCGAGUGAAGAUACAACGAGUGAGGGGGAUAUCCUGCUCGCUGUUGUUGUUAGACACAGACUCAAACAUGGACAGCGGACUCUGACAGCAGCACAUGUGUCUUCUUCACUCAGGAUUUAAACUCCCCUGGAUAAACUCUGGGACCAGGACGAAAGAAAACUCGAGCACCAAAGCAUAAGAAACUUCCAGGAGAGAUUGGGAUUGACACCAGCCAAAGCUCAGCUAGGAAAUGCUCCUGUUAUGACCACUACAAUGGUUUGGUGUGUGACAGUGACGGUCCUGAUGCAAAUCUUCUUGGUAUCCAAUGGUGACCUGAGGUUGG